rnacentral:rRNA from 1 species
UACAGAGGUCCCAAGCGUUGUUCGGAUUCACUGGGCGUAAAGGGUGCGUAGGUGGCUUGGUAAGUUUGAUGUGAAAUCUCCGGGCUUAACCCGGAAAUGGCAUUGAAUACUAUUGAGCUGGAGGUUUGGAGGGGGGACUGGAAUUCUCGGUGUAGCAGUGAAAUGCGUAGAUAUCGGGAGGAACACCAAUGGCGAAGGCAGCUCGCUGGGACGUUACUGACGCUGAGACGCGAAAGCGUGGGGAGCAAACAGG